rnacentral:rRNA from 1 species
UACAGAGGGUGCGAGCGUUAAUCGGAAUUACUGGGCGUAAAGCGCGCGUAGGCGGCUUUGUAAGUCGGUUGUGAAAUCCCCGGGCUUAACCUGGGAACUGCAUCCGAGACUGCAUGGCUAGAGUAUGGGAGAGGGAAGUGGAAUUCCUGGUGUAGCGGUGAAAUGCGCAGAUAUCAGGAGGAACACCGGUGGCGAAGGCGGGUCUCUGGGCCGAUACUGACGCUGAGGAGCGAAAGCGUGGGGAGCGAACAGG